UACGUAGGGGGCAAGCGUUGUCCGGAAUCAUUGGGCGUAAAGAGCGUGUAGGCGGUUCGAUAAGUCUGCUGUGAAAGUCCAGGGCUCAACCCUGGAAAGCCGGUGGAUACUGUCGGACUAGAGUGCGGAAGAGGCGAGUGGAAUUCCCGGUGUAGCGGUGAAAUGCGCAGAUAUCGGGAGGAACACCUAUUGCGAAGGCAGCUCGCUGGGACGCUACUGACGCUGAGACGCGAAAGCGUGGGGAGCAAACAGG
rnacentral:rRNA from 1 species